UGGGGAAUAUUGCACAAUGGAGGGAACUCUGAUGCAGCGACACCGCGUGAGUGAUGAAGGAAUUCGUUUCGUAAAACUCUGUUCUAUGGGAAGAAAAGGACUGUACCAUAGGAGAAAGCUCCGGCUAAAUACGUGCCAGCAGCCGCGGUAAUACGUAUGGAGCGAGCGUUGUCCGGAAUUAUUGGGCGUAAAGGGUGCGCAGGCGGCUUUACAAGUUGGAUGUGAAAUAUUGUGGCUCAACCACAAACGUGCAUCCAAAACUGCAAAGCUUGAGUUAAGGAGAGGUAAGUGGAAUUCCUGGUGUAGCGGUGGAAUGCGUAGAUAUCAGGAGGAAUACCGGUGGCGAAGGCGACUUACUGGACUUAAACUGACGCUCAGGCACGAAAGCGUGGGGAGCAAACAGG
rnacentral:rRNA from 1 species